UAGUCCACGCCGUAAACGAUGGUCACUAGCUGUUCGGACUUCGGUCUGAGUGGCUAAGCGAAAGUGAUAAGUGACCCACCUGGGGAGUACGUUCGCAAGAAUGAAACUCAAAGGAAUUGACGGGGGCCCGCACAAGCGGUGGAGCAUGUGGUUUAAUUCGAUGAUACGCGAGGAACCUUACCAGGGCUUAAAUGUAGUGGGACAGGUCUAGAGAUAGACCCUUCUUCGGACUCAUUACAAGGUGCUGCAUGGUUGUCGUCAGCUCGUGCCGUGAGGUGUCAGGUUAAGUCCUAUAACGAGCGCAACCCCUGUUGUUAGUUGCCAGCGAGUAAUGUCGGGAACUCUAACAAGACUGCCGGUGCAAACCGUGAGGAAGGUGGGGAUGACGUCAAAUCAUCACGGCCCUUACGUCCUGGGCUACACACGUGCUACAAUGGCAAGUACAGAGAGCAGCCACUGGGCGACCAGGAGCGAAUCUAUAAAACUUGUCACAGUUCGGAUCGGAGU
rnacentral:rRNA from 1 species